GCUCCGGUGGCUUGGUGGUUAGAGCGUCCGCCUCGAUCGCGGAAGGUUGUGGAUUUGAUCCCCGGUAGGAUCA